GGUACCGUAGCUCAGCUGGUUAGAGCGUGGGACUCAUAAGCCCAAGGUCACUGGUUCAAGCCCAGUCGGUACUACCA
rnacentral:tRNA from 1 species